rnacentral:lncRNA from 1 species
UCUAAUUUUCAAUAACUCCAUCCACUAAUAUCAAAAUAGAAGAGGCGGUAAUCCUCACUAUCAAACUUUUAAGUUCUGUUGACAUAUAAAAUCCAGUAAACAACUAAAAAUAAAACCAGAACUCAAGCUGAAAAUAUUGCAUCCACAAGCUUUAUUGAAAUUGAAGCACUUCACCACUAGAAAAUGAAAGUAAAUGAAUAAACUUAAAAGGUAUACUAAGAAACUUACCUCAUACAUGUACAAGUCAGACAUGCCUUCCAGAUCCUUAACCACCAGUAAACACAAAUCCAAUAUUUUGAUUCGAUGUCAUGUCGAUGGAUCAUUUUAAAAUAGAAAAUAAGUAAAGAUCUCCAACAAGAGUGUUAAAUACUGCCUUGUAUCUUCUUCUUUUUUCCCUUUUAACAAUUCUGCAUCAAAUUCAUCAUGCAUCACUUCUGUACAUCCAUGCUUUGUGUAGACUAUACAGCUAAAAUAACCACAAAAACAUAAGAAGAAAAUAAUAGAGACUAACCUCAAUCGCCAACACUCCAGCUUUUCAUUUCCAGUCUCUCCUUGAAGAAAACCCAAACUUUACACUAAAAAAUUAAAAAAAAUAUUACAAAGAUUGACAACUCUUCCGACUUCGCCAAUGCUAAACCCUAAUCUGGAAACACCUGAUACUUCAAUGAUUCUUUUACUCAUAAGCAGAUUGGAGAGGGUAAGAUCCGACGAGGUCGCUCUUAACACCAUGGAGACCGAAUCGCAACGCGCCGUUCUGGGCUCCUCGAAUUUCAUGCCGAAUGGUCUUUGGUGCCUCCAUUUUCCUUUUCUUUUUUUCUUUUUGAAUAUAAUCGCUUCUUGUUAAAAUUUUCUUUUGGGAUUUUUUUUAUAAUGUCGCAGAGAGGGAGGGAGGGAGAGAAAGCAAGACAGACGGCGUGUUUGCAAAGUGAAGAGUUUUAGGGGGAAAAUUAGGGGUUUCACGGGGGAAAUUUGGGGAUAAAAUGGCGGGAUUUUUUUAAAGUAAUAUUAUUCUUUGCGGCGUUUAUUAUAAAAAUGCCGCUAUUGCUUAUUUUUUGUGGCGUUUUGGCGUUUUUUGAAAAACGCCG